UGAGACAGUUCGGUCCCUAUCCAUCGUGGGCGCAGGAGAUUUGAAGGGUGCUGUCCCUAGUACGAGAGGACCAGGAUGGACGCACCAAGGGUGUAUCAGUUGUCGCGCCAGCGGCAUAGCUGGGUAGCCAUGUGCGGAGCGGAUAAACGCUGAAGGCAUCUAAGCGUGAAGCCGGCCUUAAGAUAAGAUAUCCCAUCGAAAGAGUAAGACCCCUCAAAGACUAAGAGGUUGAUAGGCUUAACGUGUAAGCAUCGUGAGGUGUUAAGCGAGUGAGUACUAAUCGGUCGAGGGCUUUUCCUA
rnacentral:rRNA from 1 species